CCCUUAGAUGUUCUGGGCCGCACGCGCGCUACACUGAUGCAUUCAACGAGUCUAAAACCUGCUCUGAUAGGGGUGGGUAAUCUUUUGAAUGUGCAUCGUGAUUGGGAUAGAUGAUUGCAAUUUUUCAUCUUCAACGAGGAAUGCCUAGUAAACGCAAGUCAUCAGCUUGCAUUGAUUACAUCCCUGCCCUUUGUUCACACCGCCCGUCGCUCCUACCGAUUGAAUGAUCCGAUGAAUAUCAUGGAUUGAGGAUGCAAGCAGGUUCGCCUGUCUUCAUCUUCGAGAAGUGAAGUAAAUCUUAUCAUUUAGAGGAAGGAGAAGUCGUAACA
rnacentral:rRNA from 1 species